rnacentral:sRNA from 1 species
GUCUAUGAACAUUUUAGGCAUUUAGGGCACGUAACUGACAACCGAAAUCAGAAGAGUAAAUAAAUAAAAUAUUUAUAAACGUACGAGUACGUCAAAUUCGCAGCAUCAAACGUCAGCCGGAAUUGACAAGAACGUUCCCUAAAUUAUUUCUUCCUGGCUAUGUCAACAGGGACUCGGCUCUGUCCUCCCUAAUUGCCAAGUAUUCAUCACACGUGCGACCAUGCGAGUAAACGUGACAGAUGCCGGCCCAUUUAUGUAGAAGGAGUUUAAUCUAUACUUUUUUUGUGGUAGAUAUUUACCAAAAAUCUUAGAGGAUGUGGCUUCAACUUCUCCACGAAAAAUAACCAAAAACUUUAUAAUUCCCUUCAGUAGCAUAGAAAUAUCGUAAUGCGUUUUUCCUGUUCAAUGUUCGGAAAGACUAACGAAAGAAAUGAAAUAAAAAAUGGUGGCAAGCAAAGUGGAAAUAUUUUGGCCCAGUUCCUGGCCAAGAAAACGACAGGAAAAGGUGGCAAUAGGAGAAGAAGACACUGCUCCUGCUGGCGUGUAGAUAACUUGGCAAGUAUCUUGACUCAAACGUUGAGUUAUAGCGGCCGACUUGAAUUUUAUGCGUUCGUUCGUUCGUUUGCCCGGUAAGACCCAGUCGAGCAAUAUAUCCCAAAAUGUAGGCUAUAUAUUUGCCAUUAUCCGAUGAGCAGACGUGUCAAAUGCAUUGCUUAAAGAACGGCACACAAAGAAAAUAAGUUCAGGAUAAUCUCUCUCGAGGAGAUUUCUUCUCUCCUUGGCAUGGCACUCGGCUCAUUUGAUUCACUAAGCCGCUUAUCUGGAGAGCAGCAAAUGGGAUGAUGUAGAGGCAAGUGGAGCUCAUAAACUUUGCGGGCGUCGCACAAAAUCCAUUUGCAACCUUGUUUACGCUGCGUAUGGGUAACAAAUCAACGGACUGAGAAGCGGAGCACACAGUGCUGCGAGUACGGGGCACGGGCCACAGAGUGCAACCGCAAGCAAAAUGCCUGAUUGGCAACAUAAAUCAGGGAGGACAGGCACUACCACAGCCGCAGCCGCAACACCUGCCCCGCCUCCAGGCAGUCUGACAGCCUGACAGUUGCAAUGGCCACAAAAUAGGUACAACCUCCCCCAAAAAAAGUGCAACGCAAGAAGCCAAAAUGUGGUAUUUAAAAUUUGCAAUACCCUAAGAGUAAAGAAUGCCAAAAUGGAAAAGUAAGCUAAGCUAGAGAGACCCUUUUAAAGGGUAUAUAAGUGCUGGGAUGGCAUGCAGAUCCACACACCCACGCACGCUCUCGGCACAUUGCCAUGGUGGAGUGGCAACAUAAUGAACGCAGCUUCGUGACGCGCUUUUUGGCCAAGUUGCAGCUGCAACGAGGUAGGCGCCACCACUCCAUCCGCCCAUCGCCUCAUACCUCCAGCCUCCGAAACUGUGGCCCCAGUGCGCUUGUGACACAAACGAUGAAUGACUUCGUUAGCAGCACAGGCACACAUAGAGGAACCUGUCAAACUUAUGCAAAACAGGGCAGCGGGACAGAUGAGCAGCCACUGACAAAGUGUGCAACCUGCUACAGAGUUAGGGCUGGCGAGAAAGGUAAAAUGAGGGGCGUGGCAGCGAGUGCCUGCAAUCCGAGAGUGUUCAAUUGAGCAGCAAAUUGUCAUGGCAAAUGUUGGCAGCAAAAAAAAAAUCCCCACCUAUAUACGUGAGUGCAUUUGAAAGCUGGGGAGAGGAAGGAGCCAACCAAAUUGUUAGCACAAAUAAAUGGCGAACUGCAGAAAGUCAAGCUGCAAUGGGAAAACGUUUCAAAUUUAUUGCGCCAACCUGUGAUAUUUGCACAUUCACUUUAUUUCGUUUUUGGCUACAUAGUGCAUAAAAAAGAGU